rnacentral:rRNA from 1 species
CCGCCAGAGAACAACGAGCAAAAGCUUAAAACUCAAAGGACUUGGCGGCAUUCCAUACCACCCUAGAGGGGCCUGUCACAUAAUCGAUAGCCCACGAUACACCUCACCCCUUUUUACCGCCUAUAUACCGCCGUCGCCAGCCCAUCUUGAAAAGGAAAACAAAUGGGCACAAUAGUCCCGUCACACUAACACGACAGGUCAAGGUGUAGUCCAUAAAGUGGAGAAUGACGGACCACAUUGCCCUCAAAGCCAAACUAAAAUUGUAGUGAAACACACACUUUAAGGUGAAUUUAAUAGUAAGGUGAACAAGAAAACCCGUCUAAAACCCGCCCUGGAACGUGCACACACCGCCGGUCACCCUCAA